AGAGUUUGAUCCUGGCUCAGAUUGAACGCUGGCGGCAUGCCUUACACAUGCAAGUCGAACGGCAGCGCGGGAGCAAUCCUGGCGGCGAGUGGCGAACGGGUGAGUAAUACAUCGGAACGUGUCCUGGAGUGGGGGAUAGCCCGGCGAAAGCCGGAUUAAUACCGCAUACGCUCUGAGGAGGAAAGCGGGGGAUCUUCGGACCUCGCGCUCAAGGGGCGGCCGAUGGCAGAUUAGGUAGUUGGUGGGGUAAAGGCCUACCAAGCCGACGAUCUGUAGCUGGUCUGAGAGGACGACCAGCCACACUGGGACUGAGACACGGCCCAGACUCCUACGGGAGGCAGCAGUGGGGAAUUUUGGACAAUGGGGGCAACCCUGAUCCAGCAAUGCCGCGUGUGUGAAGAAGGCCUUCGGGUUGUAAAGCACUUUUGUCCGGGAAGAAAUCCUUUUCGAUAAUACCGAAGGGGGAUGACGGUACCGGAAGAAUAAGCACCGGCUAACUACGUGCCAGCAGCCGCGGUAAUACGUAGGGUGCGAGCGUUAAUCGGAAUUACUGGGCGUAAAGCGUGCGCAGGCGGUGAUGUAAGACCGAUGUGAAAUCCCCGGGCUUAACCUGGGAACUGCAUUGGUGACUGCAUCGCUGGAGUAUGGCAGAGGGGGGUAGAAUUCCACGUGUAGCAGUGAAAAUGCGUAGAGAUGUGGAGGAAUACCGAUGGCGAAGGCAGCCCCCUGGGCCAAUACUGACGCUCAUGCAC
rnacentral:rRNA from 1 species